CAUUCAAUUCGCAGCAACUCUACAUUUUAACUUUACCAACUUCAACCGUACCAAUGAUGAUCAAAUAAAAUACGAGAGAGAUGCCUUUACGGCCAACGAUGUCAUCCACCUCACAAAUGCCGUGGUUGGUCAAUCAGCUCAGUCAAGUAUCGGACGAGUUACUUAUAGACAGCCUUUGCAUCUAUGGGAUAAGGCCUCAAGAAACCUUACUGACUUCACUACCCGUUUCACUUUUGUGAUUGAUUCCAGAAAUGAUACAUCGUAUGGCGAUGGGAUGGCGUUCUUUCUAGUUCCAAAUGGUACCGGGGUCCCGGCACUUGCAACAUCUGGUGGAACAUUUGGACUUACAAAUGAUAGUCAGCCUACCAACACCACUGCCAAUAAAUUUGUUGCUGUUGAAUUUGACGUGUAUGGGAACGACUGGGACCCUGGCGAGUCGCUGGACCCUGAUCUCACCAUUCCUCCCGGUGAGAAACCUGAGCAUGUAGGUGUUGAUAUCAACUCUGUGGAAUCCGAGGAAACUGAGCUUUGGAAAUAUGGGAGUUCUAGUGUUAUAAAUGGGUGGACAAACGAAGCUCAGAUAAGUUAUGCUUCUAGUUCAAAAAAUCUUAGUGUUUCAUUCCGUACACUAAAUUACAAAGAUUCGCCUCAAAGUUUCUACUUUGUGGUUGACCUAAGGGACCAUUUGCCAGAUUGGGUCAGUGUUGGCUUUUCAGCUUCAACAGGAGCCGCAAUUUCUUACAAUACAAUCAAUUCAUGGGAAUUCAGUUCUACUCUGGAGUCCCAUGCAGAGGCUCCGAGUCCAAGUCAUCCGUUACCACCGGUUCCGCCUCCAAGUCAAACCGGUCCAGUACCACAGGUUCCAAAACAUAUUAAAACAAAUAAUAAGAGGAUGGGUCUUGUGAUUGGAUUGGCGGUGGGGGUGUUUCUUCUUGUUUGUUCUGGGGCCAUAUACCGUAUUUUGAAGAAGAAGAAAGAGAAACAGGAAUAUGAAAAUAAUAUUUGUUUUGAGGAUGAUUUCAUGGAUGAUGAAUUUGAGAAAGGAACAGGACCUAAAAAGUUCUCUUAUAGUGCUCUUGCUAUGGCAACAAGUAGCUUUGCACCACAUGGAAAACUUGGAGAAGGUGGAUUUGGGGAAGUUUACAAAGGCUUCUUGAGUGAACUGAAUUUGGAUGUGGCUGUCAAAAGAGUAUCAAGAAAUUCUAGACAAGGAAUAAAGGAGUAUGCAUCCGAAGUGAGGAUCAUUAGUCGUCUCAGACAUAAAAAUUUGGUGCAGCUCAUUGGUUGGUGCCAUGAACGGAAUAAUCUUUUACUUGUGUAUGAGUAUAUGCAAAAUGGUAGCCUGGAUUCCCAUCUUUUCAAGGGGAAGAGCUUGCUGUCUUGGAGUACAAGGUAUAAAAUUGCUCAAGGCCUGGCGUCAGUAUUGCUUUAUCUACAUGAAGAAUGGGAGCAAUGUGUGGUGCAUAGAGACAUUAAAUCAAGCAAUGUCAUGUUAGAUUCGAGUUUUAACACUAAGCUAGGUGAUUUCGGACUGGCCAGAUUUGUUGAUCAUGAAAGGGGUGCACAAACAACUAUGGUGGCCGGGACACGAGGCUACAUGGCCCCUGAAUGUUUUUUCACAGGCCAAGCUAGCAGGAUGUCGGAUGUUUUCAGCUUCGGAGUUGUAGCACUGGAAAUAGCCUGUGGUCGAAAACCUAUUGACAUCAAGCUAGAAGAAAGUCGGAUAGAAUUAGUAAAGUGGGUUUGGGAGCUUCAUGGAAGGGAACAAAUUCUUGAAGCAGCAGACCCAAAACUCUCGGGGGAUUAUGACGAGAGUCAAAUGAAACGGUUGAUGAUGGUCGGGCUCUGGUGUGCACAUCCAGAUUGGCCAAUUAGGCCUUCCAUUAAGGAGGCCAUUCAAAUUCUUAAUUUUGAUGCUCCAUUGCCUGUUCUGCCGCCCCAGAUGCCUGUGGCAACCUAUUCCAUACCAUCAAACUUGUGUUCAGAAAACAGGGCCACAACCCAGAGAAGCCAAACUCAUUCUUCAGGCUCUAGUAACGGAACUGAUUCAUCAGUGUCUGCAACUGCAGCACGUCUAAAUAAUACUAGAUAAGCGAGAUAAGCGUGUCGGUUAAUAUGCAACUCAAUACUUAUAUGUGUGAUUUUGCAAUUUGAUUUCAGUUUGAUUGUAAUUCAUUCAGUGAUUGCUAUUUUUUCAUAAUUUAUUUAACAUUACAACAAAUAAAAACUAUAUCAUUUAAUCAAAUUAUUAUUGAAUUAAAUUAUUGCCUCGCGUAAUUAUAUGUAUAAUUUAAAAUUAAAAAAAUACUACUCCCUCCAUCCCAUUUUAAGUGUCCAUUUUGUCAAAAAAAAAUUUCCCAAAAUAUGUGUCAUACUCUUUAACCCAUGUAAAAUUUAUACCAUUUCCAAUAUAAUAUUAAAUACAACCAACAACUCCUCAUAAAUAUAUUUAGAAGCAUUAUGAAUGUAUAGUGUAAUUUGAAGUGAGAGAAGGUUCAAUACACAAUAAUUAAUGAGAUAUGUAAUUAAUAUGUAUGAAAACUAAGCUGAUUAGUUGUGGAAAGAUAGUUGUGGAAAGAUGGUGAUAAAAAUAUUACAUUAAUUGUUUCUUAAUAUGUGUGAAAAUUGCAAAGUGGACACUUAAAAUGGGAUGGAGGGAGUAAAAUUUUACAUUAUUAUCAUAUUUUUUAGUCAUACCAGAGUAAAUUUCUUAUUGCCCAACAAUAAUUUCUCUAUAAUAACUUUAAUUUUCCUUUAACAGGAUCUAGAAUAAAUAUGUUAUCUUACGAAUUUAGUAUGUCUCUAAAUUUUGUAAUGUGAAUAUGUGAUCUUAAUUUUAUUAUUGAUUAAAUAGUUGAUACAUGUCAUUUUUUCAUGACCAAAAAACUGGCAAGAAACCUCCAGGGUAUUAAUUGGAGCUUUACAUGUGUGUGCUUGUGUAGUUACUUGUUUGUGUUUUAUUACUUCAUCAAAUUUGCAAGCCAGAAUAAUUAGAAAACGUGUAAUCCGCGAACCAGUGCUUGCAUUAUAAUCAUUAUAGUUGUUGUUUUCUCAUUGAAGAAUGUUGUUGCCAAUCUAGACUUGUCAGCUCUGUCUUUUUUCCAAUUCUAUGAACAUAAUCAUCCAAGUCUUUUGACAAAUUAAAGUUGAUCAGAUGGGAGACAUGGGCAACAUCCAGACCUUCUGCACCAACAUAGUAGCCAGCAGGAGGAUAGGCGUAAUCAGUAAUACCAGUUCUGAUUUUUGAAUGAUCUUAAUGCCGUUUUCAGCAAAUUCAAAAACAAAUAAUAAAAAGAUGGGUAUAGUGAUUGGAUUGGCGGUAGGGGUGUUUGUUCUCGUAUAAUGCUCUUGCUAUGGAAAUAAGUAACUUUACACAAUUUGGGGAAGUUUACAAAGGCUUCCUGAGAGAAUUGAACUUGGGUGUGGCUGUCAAGAGAGUGUCAAGAAAUUCCCGAAGUGAGGAUCAUUAGCACUGGAAAUAGCAUGUGGUCGAAAACCUAUUGAGCUCAUGGUAGAAGAGAGUCAGGUAGAAUUAGUAAAGUGGGUUUGGAGCUUUAUGCAUGGAAGGGAACAAAUUGUUGAAGCAGCUGACCCAGAACUCUCCACUAGUGAUGAUUGUUGGGCUUUGGUGUGCACAUCCACAUUGGAUAUUUGGGCAGAUGUCUGUCUGGUUUAACCCGGAUCAAUUACGGCCCUGUUAUAAUAUAAAGGUACAACUCCAAUGAUAUAGUUUUUUUUUUUUUUUUUUAAAGUCUACAUACACGUAUAUGAAUUGUAUCGAAAUACAAUAAACCGCAUCAGGGAUUUCUUUCUUUUAAGAAAGUUUAUCAUCUAACCGAAAGUCAUGCAAGCAUAACUCCGGACGCUUAGACAAUAAAGCUUAAAUGAAUAAGUAAAGAAAACCCAUAAGUCCCGUAGCUUCCAGAGUAUCCUGAAAAAACAAAUCAACCAAAACAUAAAUCAACAUACAAAAAAAUCACACACAUAUAAGUUUAAUUAAAGUAAAAUAAAAAAUCUAAUAAAAAGCAAAACAAAAAUAUAUAUAUAUAUUAAAAAUAGAUAGAAAAUAAAAUAAUAUAGAAAUAUUAAUUAAUUUCUAACCAAAGGAAAAUCCUUUGGUUAGACACAUAAAAAUUAAUUUUUUGGGACAAUAAAAAUUAAAAUUUAAGUGAGGAGUAAAGGAUGAAAUAUAAUUAAAUAUAAUUAAAUAAAAUGAUCAUCAAAAUGGUCAAUAAGCCAUUAAAAGUGGCAUCCAUAAUUGGAACAAAAAGCCAUAAAAGGCACGAUAAAGCCAUUAAAGGCACAAUAAAGUCAUCAUUAAUGACACCCAUAAAUGGUUUUUAAAUUUUGAAUCUUUGAAAAAUAAUAAAAGUAAACAAUUUUCAAAUUUGGAUGGUAAUUGAUUAUAACUUAAGAAAAGUUGACUAAUCUCCAUAAUAUACAGACAACACAUUUAAGGAGCAUUAAAACACAUUUAAGACAUAUAAAUCCAAAACCAAUUUCAAAUUUAAAUUUAUCAAUUUAUCAAUUUAAGAUAAUUCAUUUGUAUAUAAACGGUCAAUUAAUUAUCCAAAUUAAAGCAUAAUUUACUCAAAUUAAAAACAAAAUACAAGUUAAUGCAUGUAGUGGAAAGUCAAAUUCCAAGGAUAAACAAAUUUAAAAAGGAGUCAACUAUCCAUUCAAAAAUAACUGAUUUUAAGAUUUGCAAUUACUACUAUUAAAACCAAAUAAUAUUCAAAAUUACAAAUCUAAAACUAGAAUCAUGGAAUAAAACACGAACUAAUUAAGUCACCAGUGCACCACCGUCACCAUCCAAGAACCGCAAACAAUUAUUAUGAACACUAGCGAAAAAACUAAAAAUCGAACAUGAAGAUACAAAACACCAAAUGUAACUGAUCCUAUAUAUAAUAAAAGAUCGAUAAUAUCUAUCCAAUCUUUUCAAGUUCGGACAAAAAUAGAUAGAAAAAGAUGAAAAUUGGAUACGAAAACAACCCAUACAAUAUUAAAUUUAAGCACACAAUUAUACCUAAUCAUGAAAUAUGAAUCAUCUCACAAUAAUAUAUACAGUAAAACAAAAACCAAUCACAUAAUCAUAAUCAUGUAGGUUUAUGUUUUGAAAAGAUCACACCUGUUUUUUUUAAGUAUUUCCGCAGAUCUCCAAGACAAUUUGCUGAUGAAGGAGGUGUUGACAGCGUAGAUGGCGUUGCCCAAAGAUUAGUCUAGAGUCGGAUAUUCUUUCCUUAGCCAUGGCGCUUAGAUCAAAGAUUAAAAGUUAAAAAAAUACGUUAAAAAGAAAAUAGCAAUGUUGGUGAAACAUGAUCUGAGAAGGGUGGCUAAUGCGGUAGGAGUGGGACAAUGGUGGUGUGUUCAUGUGACACGACUACCAGACCCUAGAACUUGCUGCCUGGCGAUUUUAGUUGAAGGGACGAGAGAGGGAUUAUUAAUUCUACACGCCAGCUAUCAUCUUUUACUAGAGCCAGAGCUUAUUUGUUUGCUGACAGAUGGGUCUUUUGUAAUCCCAGUCCCCGUCCAAGGCUACUCCAAUGAUAUAGUUGAAUGCCCAAACAAAGUAUCAAACACAAGCUUGCAUUCUGAAGGGCCGAAGAACUCGGUCAAUUCCAACUCCAAAAUUUCUAGUUUAUCAAAAUAUCUCUUUUUUCAAAUAUAAAAAUCUAAUUGAAUUUUAAUAUUGAAAGAUAAAAUAAAAUAUACAGUGAUGACUCUAAAGUUUAGAAAACACUUUAGAAAAGUGUGCAAUAUUUUAGGAAGUUACGUGAGUAUAUAAUAUAAUAUAAAUUAAUUUAUAAAUAAAUACUUCAAACUACGGCCACCUGACAUUUUCAUUACAAACCCCACACAUACUUAAAAAUAACAUGUUCUUUGAACUUAUACUCUUAAAUAAAGUACUCCCUCCGUCCCUUUUUAUCUGUCCAUUUUGGAAAAAAAAACACAUACCAAGGAAUAAUUGAUUGUAUAAAUUUUUUCAUUAAAUACCUCUAAUUAAUAUCUUGAAAAUGGUGGAAUACCCCUACUUUAUGUCUUGAAAACAUGAAUUCAACCAAGUUUUAAAUAAGUCAAGCCUUGAAAAUUGAAAUUAUGGAGAUAUAUUUGAAAAACUAUCAUUAAAUUAGUUUUGAAAGUAUAAAUGGACAGAUAAAUAGGGACGGAGGGAGUAGUUUGAACUCGACAAAGAGAAAACUAAAAAAUCAAAUAGUUCGAAAAUUCAUUUAAUGCACAAUUCAAUAAUGUAUACUAUAAAGUUAAAGUAAAUUACACAGAAAAAUAAUUUGCUCCAUACGGUCAACAUUAUUAUUUUAAAAGUAAAAGUUUGCGGCACAUGGGGCCUGUUUACGUAUCGAAUGGUUUAUAAUAAAGAUUGAAGGACUUCGAUACCAGGAAGAUGAAUUUGCAUCCAAAUUUCAUAAUAUGGGUUCAAGCAUGGUUUGCAGCCAUCUCCGGUCAGGAGGCUCUACUAUCUCGUCUAUUUUCAUCAGAUCUCUGAUAUUUCUUAGUACCAUUCAAUUCGCAGCAACUCUACAUUUUAACUUUACCAACUUCAACCGUACCAAUGAUGAUCAAAUAAAAUAUGAGAGAGAUGCCUUUACCACCAACGAUGUCAUCCACCUCACUAAAGCCGUGGUUGGUCAAUCAGCUAAGUCAAGUAUCGGACGAGUUACUUAUGGACAGCCUUUGCAUCUAUGGGAUAAGGCCUCAGGAAACCUUACUGACUUCACUACCCG
rnacentral:lncRNA from 1 species